rnacentral:sRNA from 1 species
GGAAGGAUGAGAAGCUUCGACUAAGGUUCGAUUCGAGCGCAGCGAGAAAGCGUUGCCGCAGGCAACGACCCGAAGGGCGAAGCGCGCAGCGCUGAGUAAUCCUUCCCCCACCACCA